GUGUCAGCCGCCGCGGUAAUACGAAGGGUGCAAGCGUUACUCGGAAUUACUGGGCGUAAAGCGUGCGUAGGUGGUUGUUUAAGUCUGUCGUGAAAGCCCCGGGCUCAACCUGGGAAUUGCGAUGGAAACUGGGCGACUAGAGUGUGGCAGAGGGUAGUGGAAUUCCUGGUGUAGCAGUGAAAUGCGUAGAGAUCAGGAGGAACAUCCGUGGCGAAGGCGACUGCCUGGGCCAACACUGACACUGAGGCACGAAAGCGUGGGGAGCAAACAGGAUUAGAAACCCCUGUAGUCC
rnacentral:rRNA from 1 species